rnacentral:lncRNA from 1 species
GAGAAUUUGAGGCUCUAUUUAUAGCUUGAAUGUGUUCUUUUGUCCCAAUGUAUUUUGGAUUGUUCCUUUGCCUUUCUGAUGUAUUUCUAGAAUUUAUUUCUUUUGUCUCCGAUGCAUUUAUGGAUAUUCCUUGCAUUUCUGAUGUAUUUUUAAAAUCGAUCUGAUGUAUUUUUUGAUGUUUUCUUUUCUCUCCUAUGUAUUUCUGGAAGUGUAUUAUGUUUUGAUGUAUAUCUAGAACCUU